GACGAACGCUGGCGGCGUGCCUAACACAUGCAAGUCGAGCGGAGACAGAUGAAAGCUUGCUGGAUUCUGUUUUAGCGGCGGACGGGUGAGUAACGCGUGAGCAACCUUUCCUUGACUGGGGAAUAACACAGCGAAAGUUGUACUAAUACCGCAUGAGACCACAGGGAGGCAUCUUCCGGGGGUCAAAGAUUUAUCGGUCAAGGGUGGGCUCGCGUCUGAUUAGAUAGUUGGUGAGGUAACGGCUCACCAAGUCGACGAUCAGUAGCCGACCUGAGAGGGUGAUCGGCCACAUUGGGACUGAGACACGGCCCAAACUCCUACGGGAGGCAGCAGUGGGGAAUAUUGGGCAAUGGGGGAAACCCUGACCCAGCAACGCCGCGUGGAGGAAGAAGGUUUCGGAUCGUAAACUCCUGUCCUCAGGGAAGAGCAGAAGACGGUACCUGAGGAGGAAGCCCCGGCUAACUACGUG
rnacentral:rRNA from 1 species